rnacentral:rRNA from 1 species
GAUGAACGUUGGCGGCGUGCCUAAUACAUGCAAGUCGAGCGAACGGACGAGAAGCUUGCUUCUCUGAUGUUAGCGGCGGACGGGUGAGUAACACGUGGAUAACCUACCUAUAAGACUGGGAUAACUUCGGGAAACCGGAGCUAAUACCGGAUAAUAUUUUGAACCGCAUGGUUCAAAAGUGAAAGACGGUCUUGCUGUCACUUAUAGAUGGAUCCGCGCUGCAUUAGCUAGUUGGUAAGGUAACGGCUUACCAAGGCAACGAUGCAUAGCCGACCUGAGAGGGUGAUCGGCCACACUGGAACUGAGACACGGUCCAGACUCCUACGGGAGGCAGCAGUAGGGAAUCUUCCGCAAUGGGCGAAAGCCUGACGGAGCAACGCCGCGUUAGUGAUGAAGGUCUUCGGAUCGUAAAACUCUGUUAUUAGGGAAGAACAUAUGUGUAAGUAACUGUGCACAUCUUGACGGUACCUAAUCAGAAAGCCACGGCUAACUACGUG